rnacentral:rRNA from 1 species
GACGAACCGUGCGAACGUUGUUCGGAAUCACUGGGCUUAAAGGGCGCGUAGGCGGAUCAGCAAGUCCGGGGUGAAAUCUCUCGGCUCAACCGGAAAAGUGCCUUGGAUACUGCUGGUCUUGAGGGAGGUAGGGGCAUGUGGAACUUCCGGUGGAGCGGUGAAAUGCGUUGAUAUCGGAAGGAACGCCGGUGGCGAAAGCGACGUGCUGGCCCUCUUCUGACGCUGAGGCGCGAAAGCCAGGGGAGCGAACGGG